GGCUGUCUGAUGAACAUGAGACUCCCGGCAGGGAGACAGAUGGCAUUUUACUGCCUGACUGCAAGUCAUAUUUCUUUUAUUUCCGGGACGGUUGUGAACGUUCAGGUGACCAAGCAACAUUAUGACUUGAGAAAGAAGCAGAUGUCGCCUUGAAUGUGGAAGUCCACUUUCUCUUCCGAUACACCUGGGCAGGACUUGCUUGGUGACUCUACCUUGCCUGGUGCCUUCAGAUGCUUUGUGCUUUAACCCCUGGAAACCCCAACCACCAUGGUGGCUAGAAAUUAUGUCUGUCACAGUUUCAACACUCCUGGAGAACAUCAGGCGCAAAACAAACCCAGACGGAGAACUUGACUGGGCCUAAUAUGGAGCCUGUCUCAGCUGCUUCAGCCAAGAGGCGGAAGUGUGGCUGGGAACAAAGGA